AGUGGCGAACGGGUGAGUAACACGUGGGUAACCUGCCCAUCAGAAGGGGAUAACACUUGGAAACAGGUGCUAAUACCGUAUAACACUAUUUUCCGCAUGGAAGAAAGUUGAAAGGCGCUUUUGCGUCACUGAUGGAUGGACCCGCGGUGCAUUAGCUAGUUGGUGAGGUAACGGCUCACCAAGGCAACGAUGCAUAGCCGACCUGAGAGGGUGAUCGGCCACACUGGGACUGAGACACGGCCCAGACUCC
rnacentral:rRNA from 1 species